rnacentral:rRNA from 1 species
GAUGAACGCUAGCGGGAGGCCUAACACAUGCAAGCCGAGCGGUAUUGUUUCUUCGGAAAUGAGAGAGCGGCGUACGGGUGCGUAACACGUGUGCAACCUGCCUUUAUCUGGGGGAUAGCCUUUCGAAAGGAAGAUUAAUACUCCAUAAUAUAUUGAACGGCAUCGUUUAAUAUUGAAAGCUCCGGCGGAUAGAGAUGGGUACGCGCAAGAUUAGCUAGUUGGUGAGGUAACGGCUCACCAAGGCGAUGAUCUUUAGGGGGCCUGAGAGGGUGAUCCCCCACACUGGUACUGAGACACGGACCAGACUCCUACGGGAGGCAGCAGUGAGGAAUAUUGGUCAAUGGGUGCAAGCCUGAACCAGCCAUCCCGCGUGAAGGACGACUGCCCUAUGGGUUGUAAACUUCUUUUGUAUAGGGAUAAACCUACCCUCGAGAGGGUAGCUGAAGGUACUAUACGAAUAAGCACCGGCUAACUCCGUG